rnacentral:rRNA from 1 species
CACUAGUGUAAACCGUCAUUGCUGCGGUUAAAAAGCUCGUAGUUGGAUCUGAGUCGCAUGCAAUGGUUCGUCAUUGACGUUAAUCAUUGUUGUGACUAUCGGCUGGUUUUCUACUGAGAUCUCGAUCUCUUUAGUGACUAGCGAGUUUACUUUGAAUAAAUUAGAGUGCUCAGAACAAGCGUUUGCUUGAAUGUUUGAUCAUGGAAUAAUAGAAGAGGACUUCGGUUCUAUUUAUUGGUUCAGGAACUGAAAUAAUGGUUAAGAGGGACAAUUCGGGGGCAUUCGUAUCCCUGCGCGAGAGGUGAAAUUCGUGGACCGCAGGGGGACGCCCUAAAGCGAAAGCAUUUGCCAAGAAUGUCUUCAUUAAUCAAGAACGAAAGUCAGAGGUUCGAAGGCGAUUAGAUACCGCCCUAGUUCUGACCGUAAACUAUGCCAUCUAGCGAUCCGAUGGGGUAUUGUUGCCUUGUCGAGGAGCUUCCCGGAAACGAAAGUCUUUCGGUUCCUGGGGUAGUAUGGUUGCAAAGCUGAAACUUAAAGAAAUUGACGGAAUGGCACCACCAGGAGUGGAGCCUGCGGCUUAAUUUGACUCAACACGGGAAAACUCACCCGGCCCGGACACCGUAAGGAUUGACAGAUUGAAAGCUCUUUCUCGAUUUGGUGGGUUGGUGGUGCAUGGCCGUUCUUAGUUGGUGGAGCGAUUUGUCUGGUUUAUUCCGAUAACGAGCGAGACUCUAGCCUGCUAAAUAGUGACUAGAUUCAUAUUUGUCGUCUAGUCUACUUCUUAGAGGGAUAAGCGGUGUUUAGCCGCACGAGAUUGAGCGAUAACAGGUCUGUGAUGCCCUUAGAUGUUCGGGGCUGCACGCGCGCUACAAUGGAAGAAUCAGCUGGCCUAUCCAUUGCCGAAAGGUAUUGGUAAACCGUUGAAACUCUUCCGUGACCGGGAUAGGGAAUUGUAAUUAUUUCCCUUGAACGAGGAAUUCCUAGUAAGUGUGAGUCAUCAGCUCACGCUGAUUACGUCCCUGCCAUUUGUACACACCGCCCGUCGCUGUCCGGGACUGAGCUGUCUCGAGAGGACUGCGGACUACUGUAUUGAGACCUUCGGGUCGUAAUAUGGCGGGAAACAGUUCAAUCGCAAUGGCUUGAACCGGGUAAAAGUCGUAACAAGGUAUCUGUAGGUGAACCUGCAGAUGGAUCAUCG